CAGCAGCCACGGUAAUACGGAGGGUGCAAGCGUUAAUCGGAAUUACUGGGCGUAAAGCGCACGCAGGCGGUCUGACAAGUCAGAUGUGAAAUCCCCGGGCUUAACCUGGGAACUGCAUUUGAAACUGUCAGGCUGGAGUCUUGUAGAGGGGGGUGGAAUUCCAGGUGUAGCGGUGAAAUGCGUAGAGAUCUGGAGGAAUACCGGUGGCGAAGGCGGCCCCCUGGACAAAGACUGACGCUCAGGUGCGAAAGCGUGGGGAGCAAACAGGAUUAGAUACCCAGUAGUCCCUGUCUCUUAUACC
rnacentral:rRNA from 1 species